rnacentral:rRNA from 1 species
AAGUCGUAACAAGGUCUCCGUUGGUGAACCAGCGGAGGGAUCAUUACUGAGUACUACACUCUCUACCCUUUGUGAACUAUUAUACCUGUUGCUUCGGCGGCGCCCGCAAGGGUGCCCGCCGGUCUCAUCAGAAUCUCUGUUUUCGAACCCGACGAUACUUCUGAGUGUUCUUAGCGAACUGUCAAAACUUUUAACAACGGAUCUCUUGGCUCCAGCAUCGAUGAAGAACGCAGCGAAACGCGAUAUGUAAUGUGAAUUGCAGAAUUCAGUGAAUCAUCGAAUCUUUGAACGCACAUGGCGCCUUCCAGUAUCCUGGGAGGCCAUGCCUGUCCGAGCGUCGUUUCAACCCUCGAGCCCCUGUGGCCCGGCGUUGGGGAUCUGCCACGGCAGGCCCCUAAAACCAGUGGCGGACCCGAAGGGCCCUCUCCUUUGCGCAGUAGCAUUCGCCUCGCAUCGGGAGUCCUCGGCGUCCUGCCUCUAAACCCCCCACAAGCCCGCUUCGGCGGCACCAAGGUUGACCUCGGAUCAGGUAGGAAUACCCGCUGAACUUAA